AUUGAACGCUGGCGGCGUGCUUAACACAUGCAAGUCGAUCGGUAACGCGGGGGCAACCCUGGCGACGAGAGGCGGACGGGUGAGGAACGCUUGGGAAUCUGCCUAUCAGCGGGGGACAACACGGGGAAACUCGUGCUAAUACCGCAUACGCUCUACGGAGGAAAGCCGGGGACCGCAAGGCCUGGCACUGAUAGAUGAGCCCAAGUCGGAUUAGCUAGUUGGCGGGGUAACGGCCCACCAAGGCGACGAUCCGUAGCUGGUCUGAGAGGACGAUCAGCCACACUGGGACUGAGACACGGCCCAGACUCCUACGGGAGGCAGCAGUGAGGAAUAUUGGACAAUGGGGGAAACCCUGAUCCAGCGACGCCGCGUGGGUGAAGAAGGCCUGCGGGUUGUAAAGCCCUUUCGGUAGGGACGAAAGCUCUCGACCUAACACGUCGGGAGGUUGACUUAACCUACAAAAGAAGCACCGGCUAACUCUGUGCCAGCAGCCGCCGCGGUAA
rnacentral:rRNA from 1 species